rnacentral:rRNA from 1 species
AACGAACGCUGGCGGCGUGCCUAACACAUGCAAGUCGAGCGCGAAAGUCCCUUCGGGGGCUAGUAGAGCGGCGGACGGGUGAGUAAUACGUGGAUAAUCUUCCCUCGAGCUUGGGAUAACCCUGCGAAAGUGGGGCUAAUACCGGAUAAGACCACAUAGCAUAUGCUACGUGGUAGAAGGUGGCUUAUAUUUAUAUGAGCUAUCACUUGAGGACGAGUCCAUGGCCUAUCAGCUAGUUGGUGAGGUAAAAGCUCACCAAGGCUAUGACGGGUAGGUGGUCGGAGAGGACGACCAGCCACACUGGGACUGGAACACGGCCCAGACUCCUACGGGAGGCAGCAGUGGGGAAUAUUGGGCAAUGGGCGAAAGCCUGACCCAGCGACGCCGCGUGGGUGAUGAAGGCCUUCGGGUUGUAAAGCCCUUUCGUGCGGAAAGAACAGCCCUGUAGCGAAUACCUACAGGGUUUGACGGUACCGCAGGAAGAAGCACCGGCUAACUCCGUGCCAGCCGCCGCCGUAA